GAUGAACGCUGGCGGCGUGCCUAAUACAUGCGAGUCGAGCGAACAGACGAGGAGCUUGCUCCUCUGACGUUAGCGGCGGACGGGUGAGUAACACGUGGAUAACCUACCUAUAAGACUGGGAUAACUUCGGGAAACCGGAGCUAAUACCGGAUAAUAUAUUGAACCGCAUGGUUCAAUAGUGAAAGACGGUUUUGCUGUCACUUAUAGAUGGAUCCGCGCCGCAUUAGCUAGUUGGUAAGGUAACGGCUUACCAAGGCGACGAUGCGUAGCCGACCUGAGAGGGUGAUCGGCCACACUGGAACUGAGACACGGUCCAGACUCCUACGGGAGGCAGCAGUAGGGAAUCUUCCGCAAUGGGCGAAAGCCUGACGGAGCAACGCCGCGUGAGUGAUGAAGGUCUUCGGAUCGUAAAACUCUGUUAUUAGGGAAGAACAAAUGUGUAAGUAACUAUGCACGUCUUGACGGUACCUAAUCAGAAAGCCACGGCUAACUACGUG
rnacentral:rRNA from 1 species